GACGAACCGUGCGAACGUUGUUCGGAAUCACUGGGCUUAAAGCGCGCGUAGGCGGCUUUGUAAGUCAGAGGUGAAAGCCUGGAGCUCAACUCCAGAACUGCCUUUGAGACUGCUCGCUAGAAUCAUGGAGAGGUAAGUGGAAUUCCGAGUGUAGAGGUGAAAUUCGUAGAUAUUCGGAAGAACACCAGUGGCGAAGGCGACUUACUGGACAUGUAUGACGCUGAGGUGCGAAAGCGAUGGG
rnacentral:rRNA from 1 species